UCUUCCCUCUUUCUUCGUGCCUAAUACAUGCAAGUCGAGCGAACGGACGAGAAGCUUGCUUCUCUGAUGUUAGCGGCGGACGGGUGAGUAACACGUGGAUAACCUACCUAUAAGACUGGGAUAACUUCGGGAAACCGGAGCUAAUACCGGAUAAUAUUUUGAACCGCAUGGUUCAAAAGUGAAAGACGGUCUUGCUGUCACUUAUAGAUGGAACCGCGCUGCAUUAGCUAGUUGGUAAGGUAACGGCUUACCAAGGCAACGAUGCAUAGCCGACCUGAGAGGGUGAUCGGCCACACUGGAACUGAGACACGGUCCAGACUCCUACGGGAGGCAGCAGUAGGGAAUCUUCCGCAAUGGGCGAAAGCCUGACGGAGCAACGCCGCGUGAGUGAUGAAGGUCUUCGGAUCGUAAAACUCUGUUAUUAGGGAAGAACAUAUGUGUAAGUAACUGUGCACAUCUUGACGGUACCUAAUCAGAAAGCCACGGCUAACUACGUG
rnacentral:rRNA from 1 species